rnacentral:rRNA from 1 species
AAAGCCUUGUCUUCUGCAUUACUUCUUGUGGGAUGGGAAAUCUGGAAGGAAAGAAAUGCGCGCAUUUUCAGAAACAAGGCGGCACCGGUGGAGGUCGUCUUGCGAAACAUCAAAGAGGAAAUGUCACUUUGGGCCAUUGCGGGUGUCAAGCACUUGAGUAAUGUAAUGCCGCGAGAGUAA